CACACCGCCCGUCACGUCAUGAAAAGUUGGAGACGCCUGAAGUCGGUCAGCCAACCCUUCGGGGGAGGCAGCCGCCGAGGGUGGUGCCAGCGAUUGGGACG
rnacentral:rRNA from 1 species